UACGAAGGGGACUAGCGUUGUUCGGAAUUACUGGGCGUAAAGCGCACGUAGGCGGAUAUUUAAGUCAGGGGUGAAAUCCCGGGGCUCAACCCCGGAACUGCCUUUGAUACUGGGUAUCUCGAGUCCGAGAGAGGUGAGUGGAAUUCCGAGUGUAGAGGUGAAAUUCGUAGAUAUUCGGAGGAACACCAGUGGCGAAGGCGGCUCACUGGCUCGGUACUGACGCUGAGGUGCGAAAGCGUGGGGAGCAAACAGG
rnacentral:rRNA from 1 species